AUUGAACGCUGGCGGCAGGCCUAACACAUGCAAGUCGAGCGGAUGAAGGGAGCUUGCUCCUGGAUUCAGCGGCGGACGGGUGAGUAAUGCCUAGGAAUCUGCCUGGUAGUGGGGGAUAACGUCCGGAAACGGGCGCUAAUACCGCAUACGUCCUGAGGGAGAAAGUGGGGGAUCUUCGGACCUCACGCUAUCAGAUGAGCCUAGGUCGGAUUAGCUAGUUGGUGGGGUAAAGGCCUACCAAGGCGACGAUCCGUAACUGGUCUGAGAGGAUGAUCAGUCACACUGGAACUGAGACACGGUCCAGACUCCUACGGGAGGCAGCAGUGGGGAAUAUUGGACAAUGGGCGAAAGCCUGAUCAAGCCAUGCCGCGUGUGUGAAGAAGGUCUUCGGAUUGUAAAGCACUUUAAGUUGGGAGAAAGGGCAGUAAGUUAAUACCUUGCUGUUUUGACGUACCAACAGAAUAAGCACCGGCUAACUUCGUG
rnacentral:rRNA from 1 species